UCUGGUGUUGAAGGCCCUGCAAAGCAGCAUCGCGGUGGCGGAGCGUCGUUUGCGACGCCCAACACACAAAACAAGCGGUGAGUGCUUUGGGGUGGGGUGACUGCGUACCUUUUGUAUAAUGGGUCAGCGACUUAUAUUCUGUAGCAAGGUUAACCGUAUAGGGGAGCCGAAGGGAAACCGAGUCUUAACUGGGCGUUAAGUUGCAGGGUAUAGACCCGAAACCCGGUGAUCUAGCCAUGGGCAGGUUGAAGGUUGGGUAACACUAACUGGAGGACCGAACCGACUAAUGUUGAAAAAUUAGCGGAUGACUUGUGGCUGGGGGUGAAAGGCCAAUCAAACCGGGAGAUAGCUGGUUCUCCCCGAAAGCUAUUUAGGUAGCGCCUCGUGAACUCAUCUUCGGGGGUAGAGCACUGUUUCGGCUAGGGGGUCAUCCCGACUUACCAACCCGAUGCAAACUGCGAAUACCGAAGAAUGUUAUCACGGGAGACACACGGCGGGUGCUAACGUCCGUCGUGAAGAGGGAAACAACCCAGACCGCCAGCUAAGGUCCCAAAGUCACAGUUAAGUGGGAAACGAUGUGGGAAGGCUCAGACAGCCAGGAUGUUGGCUUAGAAGCAGCCAUCAUUUAAAGAAAGCGUAAUAGCUCACUGGUCGAGUCGGCCUGCGCGGAAGAUGUAACGGGGCUAAACUGUGCACCGAAGCUGCGGCAGCGACGCUUAUGCGUUGUUGGGUAGGGGAGCGUUCUGUAAGCCUGCGAAGGUGUCCUGUGAGGGAUGCUGGAGGUAUCAGAAGUGCGAAUGCUGACAUAAGUAACGAUAA
rnacentral:rRNA from 1 species